UUCCUACGGGCGGCUGCAGUGGGGAAUAUUGGACAAUGGGCGAAAGCCUGAUCCAGCCAUGCCGCGUGAGUGAUGAAGGCCUUAGGGUUGUAAAGCUCUUUUGUCCGGGAAGAUAAUGACUGUACCGGAAGAAUAAGCCCCGGCUAACUUCGUGCCAGCAGCCGCGGUAAUACGAAGGGGGCUAGCGUUGCUCGGAAUCACUGGGCGUAAAGGGCGCGUAGGCGGACUUUUAAGUCGGAGGUGAAAGCCCAGGGCUCAACCCUGGAAUUGCCUUGGAUACUGGGAGUCUUGAGUUCGGAAGAGGUUGGUGGAACUGCGAGUGUAGAGGUGAAAUUCGUAGAUAUUCGCAAGAACACCGGUGGCGAAGGCGGCCAACUGGUCCGAAACUGACGCUGAGGCGCGAAAGCGUGGGGAGCAAACAGGAUUAGAUACCCUAGUAGUCU
rnacentral:rRNA from 2 species